rnacentral:lncRNA from 1 species
CCCCCCCCCCCCCCAACACACACCUGGUUGCUUUGGGAACCACUCGUCAGCACAGCCAGCACAGCUGGGAAGCUGUCUGGCCACCACUGCUCCAUCUUUGGGUAAACCCUCUGCACACUUGCGGCUGACCUGGUCAUGUCUUCUCCAGGGCUAACCACAGACCUGGGGGAGACCAGUAGCUACUCUGAGUGGGACGGAGUAACUGGCAGGUGUGGCCUCCUACCCUGGCCCAUCGUGAGUAGCAUAAGUGAGAGAAUGAGGGCCCAUCUGGGGGCUCAGUGGUCCCCAGGGCAGGGGUCAGGGAGCAGGCUCUAUUGGGUGCUCUUCCCAGGAAGAGCCCAGACCCCUGUGCUGGAGAGGCUCCUGCAGUCAGGACGCUCUGCUCUGCUGGGAGACUGGGACUGGGGGCGGGGGUAGCCGUAAUGGGCAACGAGGCAGCGCCGUCCCAGGAAGGGAUCCUGAGGCCACCAUGAUCAGCCUGGCCUGAGUCCAGAGGGGUUGGCCACAGCCCCCGCUCCCCCCUUCAACUGGGCCUGCACUCAGGUCACACUUAGUCCCUGGACCCCGGAUUCCCAGCGCCAAACCUCGAACCCCUUUCCAGACCAUGGGCCCGCCCUGGGCGGUCUUCGCGGCUGACCUGGGGUGGCCAUGGGCCUGGACCUGGCUGGAGGACGCACUCCAGCCGCGGGGCGGGAGUGGGGGCUCCCUCCCCAACUCGCCGGCCCUGACUGGAGAGCCCAGGCACUGCGGGAAGAUAGAGAGCCAUCUAUUUACACGUCGUGAGCCUGACUUACAUUUUUCAAAUAGUUGGACCUAUAACGGGUGGGCUCCAUUGGUGCUCAGCCUGGCCUGACAACGUCAGUGGCUGCGGGAAACACAGGAAACAUGGGGGUAGGCCGGGGUUCCACACCCCAGGCAAAACCUGCCCGCACCGCCCAGCCCACACCUGAGGCGCCCGCAAUUGCGCAUGCGCAGCUGGUCGCCAACCGCGCGCCUGGUGUGGUCCCCGCCUCGAGAGGGCGCACGCUGUUCCACCUCCGUCCACCAGGGGACGCAGUCUUGCUCCUGUUCGCCGCCGACGGCGCAUGCGUUCGCCCUUGUGCGCUUUUACGACUCCGUAGCUUUCCGGGCCCUUGCAGCGUCCUGCUCCGGUUGUGCUUCCGGCGCGAAGGUGACGGACAAGAUGGUGCCGCCGGUGCAGGUCUCCCCGCUCAUCAAGCUCGGCCGCUACUCCGCCCUGUUCCUCGGCAUGGCGUACGGAGCCAAGCGCUACAGUUACCUGAAACCCCGGGCAGAAGAGGAGAGGAGGAUAGCCGCUGAGGAGAAAAAGAAGCAGGAUGAACGGAAACGGAUUGAGAGAGAACUGGCAGAAGCCCAGGACGACAGCAUACUAAAGUGAGCCCGCCUUUCUCUGGAACGGUGUGGAUGAAUAAAGCUUUCUGUGUUGUCUGAUGGUGUCCUGUA